UGGGGAAUAUUGGACAAUGGGCGCAAGCCUGAUCCAGCAAUGCCGCGUGUGUGAAGAAGGCCUUCGGGUUGUAAAGCACUUUUAUCAGGAGCGAAACGCUGUCGGCUAAUACCCGGCGGAACUGACGGUACCUGAGGAAUAAGCACCGGCUAACUUCGUGCCAGCAGCCGCGGUAAUACGAAGGGGUGCAAGCGUUAAUCGGAAUUACUGGGCGUAAAGCGUGCGUAGGCGGUUUCUUAAGUCUGCUGUGAAAUCCCCGGGCUCAACCUGGGAAUGGCAGUGGAUACUGGGAGGCUAGAGUGUGUCAGAGGGUGGUGGAAUUCCCGGUGUAGCGGUGAAAUGCGUAGAGAUCGGGAGGAACAUCAGUGGCGAAGGCGGCCACCUGGGACAACACUGACGCUGAGGCACGAAAGCGUGGGGAGCAAACAGGAUUAGAUACCCUGGUAGUCCACGCCCUAAAGCGAUGCGAACUGGAUGUUGGUCUCAACUCGGAGAUCAGUGUCGAAGCUAACGCGUUAAGUUCGCCGCCUGGGGAGUACGGUCGCAAGACUGAAACUUAAAUGAAUU
rnacentral:rRNA from 1 species